rnacentral:rRNA from 1 species
CAGUAGCCGCGGGAAUACGGAGGGUGCAAGCGUUAUCCGGAUUUAUUGGGUUUAAAGGGUCCGUAGGCGGAUCUGUAAGUCAGUGGUGAAAUCUCACAGCUUAACUGUGAAACUGCCAUUGAUACUGCAGGUCUUGAGUAAAUUUGAAGUGGCUGGAAUAAGUAGUGUAGCGGUGAAAUGCAUAGAUAUUACUUAGAACACCAAUUGCGAAGGCAGGUCACUAAGAUUUAACUGACGCUGAUGGACGAAAGCGUGGGGAGCGAACAGGAUUAGAUACCCCCGUAGUCCCUGUCUCUUAUAC